rnacentral:rRNA from 1 species
CCUACGGGUGGCAGCAGUGAGGAAUCUUUGUCAAUGGGCGAGAGCCUGAACCUGCCAAGUCGCGUGGGGGAGUGCUGCCCUAUGGGUUGUAAACCUCUGUUGUCGGGGAGCAAAAGCCGGACGUGUCCGGCUGUGAGGGUACCCGAAGAAAAAGCGUCGGCUAACUCCGUGCCAGCAGCCGCGGUAAUACGGAGGAUGCGAGCGUUAUCCGGAUUUAUUGGGUGAAAAGGGUGCGCAGGCGGAUUUUUAAGUCAGCGGUAAAAUCGUGGGGCUCAACCCCAUCCAGCCGUUGAAACUGGGGAUCUAGAGUGUGCGAGAGGUAUGCGGAAUGCGUGGUGUAGCGGUGAAAUGCAUAGAUAUCACGCAGAACCCCGAUUGCGAAGGCAGCAUACCGGUGCACAACUGACGCUCAGGCACGAAAGCGUGGGUAUCGAACAGGAUUAGAUACCCUUGUAGUC